rnacentral:sRNA from 1 species
AUACAUAGUAGUACACCUUCAUUCCAUACAAAAAUAACCAUAUCAUGACAGACACAUGCCCUUGAUAGCUACUAGUAGCAUCUUAUAUUAUUAUUAUUAUUAUUAUUAUUCCUACUCCCAUUUAUGAUAUUAGAUAGAGAGAGAUAACUAUAGAACCUUAAGGAGCAGUGAGUGGAAUGACCAAUGACCAAUUUUUCGCCAUUAUUUUUCGUACAGAAAUACUAUACUAGUUAGUAGACAGUCGCUCAUUUACAAAAGGAGUGAGCGUUCAUAGUCCGGAUUAGUCUCCAGCUUCUUUAUCCAUAAUGGCUUCAACAUCUCCUCUCCGAAAACUAGGCCAGCGUCUUACCGGAGUGCUGAGCGUGUACUGUACAUCAUCACCGAGCAACUAGGCGGCACCAUUCACACUGUUGUUAUCAAAUCCGCCCGCCAUUGGCGGAAGUAAACUCUUGAUAAUGAAAACAAAAGAUACCCGGAUGAAAUUCCAACCUCGAACCUCAUGCCUGCGUGUGUGAGCUUUUGAUUGACGAGAUAGUUGAACAAACCAUCAGAUACAUCCACAAUUGCAUUAAGAGAUCUUGAAGAUGAUAUAUUGGCAGCUUCAAAUGCCAAAUGAAGCUUAACGGAAAGGUAGAUCAAAAUCAAAUUAUGACUCAAAGGCGGGGUUCUGGAAGGCGUUGAAAGUUGAAAGUAUCUUCAUUGGAGCUGGCUGGCUAUGUGCAUACGGGGUUUGAAUCCCAUCGAUAUUGAAUGGAUGACGUUUUGAUCUUGAGAGCACAGUGUACAGUACAUAAGCUCUCCUUACUGCAAAAAGCAGUGAUGGAAUUGGCACACAGUUGGGGUUACAGUGGAGACCACCUACCGAUAUUUGAUCUUAUGGGAGACAAUGAAUGCUCAUAUCCCUGAUCUGGGCGUGAUGACUUCUUUUUUGUCUUCGAGCCCAAACGAACCCCCGAGGCCACGAAGACUAUGAACCAAAGAUUCUUAUACAGUACCGCAUCUAUUCCGGGUCAUAUCCACCCACAUAUGUGCAUAUGCGGACCUUGCCGACGAGGAGACAUUGGCAAUUCUUUUCAACUCUCAUGGACAGGGUGCCAUCUGAGAAUAUGAGACCUUUUCUUUCUCACUGGCUAGCCAGAAAGAGAUCUCGAAAGAAGAUCAGGAGUUUGUUUGUCUUUGAGCCGUGAGCGUGAAUAGAUAUAUUCAUGCAGUACGUUUUAUUUGGCUCAAAAACGGUAACUAAGUAGUUACAUGCCCAAUGUACGUACAACUCUACAGUAUCAGCAGGCAGCGUCAGGGUAGCCGUCUGCCUGCCCAACGCUGCUGGCGAUAGAUUCCCGGGCGUGAUUAUUUCGCGGUCGUCUGGGUAGCCGCGGAACGGGCAGCUUCCAUUCCAUCUUUUUCAACAUGCGAUGGUCUGUUCUGCUUCUUGAUGAUUUGGUUGCAACUACAUAGUUGCUUGUGGAUUCUGAGUUCAAAAAACAAAGUGCUGAUUUUGAACGGUGUAGGUAACAAGAAAUGGCAAGUGGUAAGAUUACUUGAGAGUUUCUGGAGCAAUAAAAAGAACAGAAAGAAAGAAAGAA